GGGAACACGCACCGAGCGGCUCCUCUCCGUGCGGUACAAGUCCCCCAUCCCGCGGCCCUUCCCCAGGGCCUCGUCGGCUGAGGCGGCGGGAGGAAGAGGAGGAGUUCAGAGCUCCGGGGAACACCUCAGGGGUCAUUUCGCCCCUCGGGAGACAGAAAGGGCUUGCAAAGUGUGAAUGGGCUGUGGGGCACAACUGAACCCCUUCCAGCCUCCCACAGCAAGAGCAGUGUCAGGAUUUACACCCCAGAGCGGUGCCACGCAGAGCCACUGGGAUCCAGCACGGUCGGCUGGGCCUCCCCCUGCCAACAGCCUUCACCACCGCCCCAUUCCCACUGUUCGCUCCGAUUCCUGCUUCCACGCUCUGUUUUCACACGGAUGGGGACGUUCCAUCCCUCCUGACUUUACACAGGUGUCAUAUUUGUUGCCGAGCACCCGUAAUUUUGGGAGGAGUGUUUGCACUGCAAAUGGAAACCUGUCAUUUCCCUGCGCCUCCCUUCCCCAGCUCAUUCCAUCAACUAAUUCCAUCAGCCAUUGCAGCUGGAGGUUUCACGUCUCCUCUGUUAAAUCAGGACAAUGCUGCUUGGAUUAAAACUAAAACACGCAUCAAAAAUCCCAUAACCACCUACAAUUUCCCCCUUUCUCCCUAAAAUCUCAGCAGGAGCCAUCAAAAGGAGGUGAAUGGUACAGAAAGUGGAAUAUUAAGCCUUUUCCCGUGCUGUGGCACCAUGGACACAAGCAGGACAAACAGAGCCUUCCCUGCUGCACAGCCACAUCCAUUUUUAAAAAUGGGCCUUCUGUGCUUUCUUUUUUCAGCUCCAUCUCCCCAAACCAAGGGAAAGAUGUUCUCAGUUAGCGGGAUUAAAAAGCAAAGUGUGGCACAAGUAUCCUGGCAGCCUCGGCAGCGCUUCCCUAAAACUGUCUGCCACGGGCACAGCUGAAAUGAAGUUGGGAUUUAAUGGCAAAACAACACCAGAAAAUGGAGCUGGGGAAAAAAAAUACCAACCCAAACCCAUCAUUUUUGGAAUGGAUUGAAUGAGAAAGGUCCCCACGGCCACAUGGAGAGGCAGAUGCGGAUGAGGAUGGAAGCUCUGCCUUCCAAUGCUGGGAGAGGCAGGAUGACCACGGGCAGGAGGAGGAUGGAGAUAUCCCACUCCAAAGCUGUCGCUUGGCUGUUUGCACGCUCGGGGCACCAGCUUGUGAUGUCCUGACAAUCAGUCCAGACAAACACGGAGCGACGGUUCCCCUCCCGCCCCGCUCCUGGUCCGCACAGCCCGGGAUCUUCUCCUGCCCCUCAGCUGGAGCACGAGAGAACAGCCAUCUGGAAAUUAAUUUGGAACAAAGUCUCCUGGUCCGCGUUCCCCGCCGGAGGGACCGUCAGCAGCUCCCGCGGCAGCGCCGUUGUGCUGACUACACACAGUGUAAUGAUUUCCAUCCAUCUCGGGAGCCCGGGCAGCCUUCCUGGCACACCACACCUGUGCCUGGGACGGACUGCGGUAAUUGCCGCGUCCUUCCCGCUCCCUUCCCGCCAGGACGGCCCUAAUCAAGAUGCAUGGCCGCUGGCAUCCAGCUGCUCCCGCAUCCCCGCUCCGGCCCA